GGGGAGGGAGAGGGGGGUGAGGGGGAGGGGAGAAGGGAGAGGGGGAGAGGGACAGAAUGUAAAUAUCUAUGUUUUCUGAUGGUCUUAAGUGCAGUCCCCCAAAGAGCAGGGUCUACAGGCAGGUAAACUAUGCUUUUUUUUUUUCAGACUGUGCUUUUUUUGUGUUUAUGUUUACAAGUCAUGUAAACUUGCAGUUCUGCAUGGCACUAACUCCUAUUACAGCUUUCUGAGACACAGCUGCAAUCUUUCUUGGUUAUCAUAUUUAGCUCUCUGUCUACCUGAUGGUCUGGGGUAAUUCCUUUCUGGAAUAGGUCCAUGCAAUUUAGAAGCCAUUCUUAACUUAUUCUGUUACAAUUAACUGCAUUGAAGCAAGAAUACAUGAAUUAAAGGGCAAUGGUAGUAUACUUCAAGGAAAUGGGGCUUCUGGUAAGCCAGCAAUUCCAACACAGCUCAGACCCUGUUCUUUCUUCUAGCAGGUCUCAUUGUCAGUGGCAAGCACUUUGUUUCUCAUCCCUUAUGCUCCUAACUUCAUGGUUUUAACCCUAACAGGACUUUUCUUUGUGUUGUUUGUAACAGGGUCUCACUAUGUAGCCCUGCCUGGCCUGGAACUUGCUAUGUUGGCCAGUCUGUCCCUCUGCUUCCAAUCAGCAUUCCUUUUAACCCUAACUUCUGUUCUGCCUGCGUCAACAAUUUAACACGGGUUUCUUUGGGUGUUGAGGACUCAACCUGGUGCAGUGUCCCAGGCAAGUGUUCUAUUUUUAAAAGAUGUUUAUCUUAUUGAUAGUUAACUUUGAUUGUCAAACAGACUGCUCUCCAAAUUCUAAUACUCCCUCACUCCUUCAGAGUGCACUUCCUUAAUUAACUCACUGGGGUUUGUCAGACUUGUUUUGUCUCCAGAGAAAAAUAAUAUCUUUAAUCAGUUUAUCACCAUACUACUUUUCAUCCCUCUUCUGCUUCCCUCUUCUCCUCUAUUAGUCCCAUGUUUUUCGUCCUGGGUCUCCUUGUCUCCUCUCCUCCCUCCUCCCUUCCCUUUUGCCAGCAAACCUUCUUUAAAAACUUAAAGUAGGACUCAAGUGGAGUAGACAAACAAAACAAAACAAAACACAGUUUCAAGCUUUGGGAAGACAACUGUGCCUGAGAUUAACAUGGAAAAUGGAGAAGGGAUUUAUGCUAGUAAUCACAGUACUCCAGAAGCAAAGUGGGGAGGGCCACUCUGGGUUACAGAGUAAGAUUCUAUCUUUAAAAAAAAAGAAAAAAGAAAAGAAAGAAAAAAACCUUUGGCGACGUUGGUUAAUGUAGGCUCAGAUUUUUCAAAACCUACUUUAAUAAGGGUUCUUAAACACUUUAACCUCCCUUGUAGACCACCACCCCCCAGAGGUAAUAGAAAGAAAAGGAUAGUAAAGCAAAGGGGGAUGUGGGCCUGUUCAGAAAUAGUUCUGUAGGGCAAUUCCAGUCUUCCUUGUCAGGAUAUCAGCGGUUCAGUUCACACAAAUCAGCAGCAGUAGCUCCAUCUACACAUAGACACCAUUCUUGAGUCAGGAAUGGUAAUUCCAUCCAGAAGAAACCACAGGGCUCUGCCAAUCAUCCCGAGUCUGCAGAACUGGCAAGAAGCCACCAGAAUAUCAUGAGAAAUUCUUUGGUGCAUUUCUCUCUUUGAAGUCACAACAAAUAAUGAUCAGCAAAGAAGGCAAGAAAAACCAGUGCCACAGCAUUGUCAAUGAAGACCAGCAUCAGCAAACCCUCAUGAAGACUAGUCAAGCAGGAAGGCAAUGCCAGAGCAUCAUCCACUGUCUGUUGGGUUAUACUUAUACCCUUUCCAAACAUUGCAUGUCUUCUCAAGCAUCUGCUCCAGCAAAACCUUACAUGCCCCUCUUCCAGGCUGCUUCCAGAAAAAUACCACUCAGCAAAACAGCCUCUAAUAAGACGGUCCAGAAAAUCAUCACAUGACACAACUGAAUCUCCAAGGAAACCAGAAAUUCCCACUUCAUAUCCCUUUUUCUGUUUAAAAAAAAAAAAGUCCUUUUCCCCUAACAUUAACAAUCUACACACAAUAGAAACAAUUAUAAGAACCAUAAAACUAGAACUUUACCUCAUACUUUAAACAAAUAGCUUAUGUACAAGACAGUCUGACAAUAGUCUAACAAAACAACCUUAAAUUGCUAUCAAUAUACAAUAAUAAACCAAACAGCAUGAAAUUUCUAUCAAUUAAACAAAACAACCUAUUACCCUAUAGGUAAUAACCAUAUGAUAACCAUAACUAGCGUCAAAGGACCAAAACCAUUCAUUCCAAUUUAAGGAAUCUGGAUGAUGGUUCUUAUAAUUUCUUCCUGCUAAAUUGGGGCAAAGAAUUCCUGUUUGGGCUGAAGUGGGGAAAAUAGUUAAUUUGAAAGAAGCUACAGCUAGCUGUAGCAUUUGUUGACCAGUCUCUGAGUUUAUCCAGUCUCCUUGUUGUCUCUCCAGUCUGUGCAUCCUCUAGUUCUUGUGUGACAGUCAAGUGGAAUAACCCUUUUGAAGUUUGUUUUUUUGAGAAAUAGUAACUGAGACAGUCUGUGAGAGUGAAUCACCUAGGCAAUUUACUUUGUGAAGACAUUCCUGUCUCAGAUGACAAGAGGUUUCCUCUGCUCAAAUUUAAUUUUUGUAAGUUUCAUUGGUAAACACACUUUUUCAUUCCCCAUAGAUACAUAAGCAUAACUACGUCCCUAUCUUAAAACUAUUGUAGGUUUCCAUUCUAACAUCAACAUGCCCUUAGAGUAUAUUGGUUGGCCUCGUUCCUCAGUUUUUUUGAUAACCCAGCUGCUGUUCCUUUUCCACAUACAUUAAGAAAAUUUAGAGUUAACACAGCAUUAUUUAGUCUGUCCCUGGGGGAUUUUUAUUUUCCCUUUUUGUUUAAUAAGCAUCUCUUUUGAGGUAGGAUUGGUUCUUUCUAUAAUUUCUUGUCCUGUGGGAUUGCAUGGUAUGCCAGUAGCAUGCUUUAUAUUGUAAUAUGCAAAGAAUUGCUUCAACUUAUUGGAUACAUAUGUGAGAGCAUGGCUGGUUUUAACUUGUCUAAGUAUUUCCAUAAUUGCCUUUAUUUCUAAUAAGUGUGUAAUUAUACAAUCAGCUUUUUUAGAACUUAAAACAGUUCCCCACUGAAACUCUGAGUUCAUGCCAGUGGUAUGGUGUUGAAAGAAUAAAGAUCUUAAACUAGCCCCCACUGACCCUGCUGUGAGGACAAGUGCACCUCACAGCAAAGAAUAACAUAACAUGUUUUGGGGAUGUAGCCUGACUAUAGCUACCACAAAUCAUCUGGCCUCGAUAAGGCCUGACUCAACAGUCCUGAGAAAAACGAGAAUUAGGGUCAACUUGCCCCAGAAGCAGGGUGGCCUAGAGUUGAACUGAGCCCAAGUUACAAACCAAUGAAAUUGCUUUGUGUGACUGUUGCCAACUGCCUAUGUAAUUUUCCCUAUAAAUACCUUCCCCUAAUUGGGCUCGGGGUCGACUCCUCUGUCUCCUGUGUGAGAUACGUGUCAUCCCCAGAGCUCUGGUUCCUCAAAUACACCUCCUGUUUAUUACAUCAAGAUCGGUUUCUCAUGAGUUCUUGGGGGUUGCGUCGUCUCUAGAUUUGAGUGGGGGUCUUCCCCACCCCGGUGGUCUUUCAGUGUAUACACAAAUCCUGAGAAUGGAAAACAUCCCUCUGCCAGAUGUCAUUUCUUUUUGAACCCCUAGGGUUUCUACCAGCAGAGAAGGGAGUUUGUUUGGAGAACAUGUAGGACAUGUUUUCAUUAUUUCUUUGGCUUGUUGGCAAGGGAUGGAAAAUUUUUGCUUUAAACCUUUCCCAUUAACAUAAUGGUUUUCAUAAGAAUUUGAGAGUUCUAACACAUUUCCUAUUAGUAACUGGUCGAUUUUCUCAUUUCCUUGAGCUAAUGGACAAGGCAAACCUGUAUGAGACAGAAUAUGAGUAAUAUAUAAUAGAUAAUUUCUACGUCUGACAACCUGUUGCAAUUGUAUAAAUACCAAAGUUAACUGAGUCAUCAGGUACAAAUUCAGCAGUCUCUAUAUGCAAAAUAACUUUCUGCAUAUAAAGAAUCUGUAAUUACGUUAAGAGGUUCAGAAUACCUAAUACUACUAUACUGAUAGCAUACAAUUCUGAUUUUUGAAUCGAUGGAUAUGGACUUUUGACCACCGUGCUUAUUUUAUCUGACUUAUGACCUGCCAUUCCCAUCUUGUUUGCAUCAGUAUAAUAAGUUAUGCCUCUGGGAAUUGGGGUUCUCUUUAGAAUAAGUGGAAGAAUCCAGUUAGAUCUUUUUAUAAACUGUUUGUUUGUCUUUCAGUUAUUUAUUAUUAUUUUCACUCACAUAGUUGCUAUAAUCUCUUUGCCAAUCUUCAUUGAUCACCAAUAAUGACAUAAUCUCAGCAUCUAUAAGAGGUACUACAAUUUUGGCUGGAGGUGUUCCUGACAACUGACAUAAUCUUAUUCAACCUUUUAUAAUCAAUCCAGAAAUCUUUUCUGGAUAUGUCUUCAAUUUGUACUUUGUUUAUGAGCUAAGAAAAUACAUUCCAUAAUAUUUUCUUCCCUUUGCAUGAUGAGCCCAGUAGGUGAAUGACCAGAAUUCAAUAAAGUUUAGGAUCAAGUCGAUCUACAUAUGCCUCUUGCAAUCUUUGUUCUACAAGAGUUAAUUCUUUUUCUGCUUCAUCUGUUAGACAUCUUGGAGUGUUUAAAGUAGAAUCUCCUUGUAUUGUUUGAAACAAAUUACUUAACUCAUAUAUACUUAAUCCAAUUGUAGGCCUCAGCCUGUUAAUAUCUUCCAUUAAUUUUUGAAAAUCAUUGUGUUCGAAAUUGGUCUCUAUGGAUCUGUAUCUUUUGUUAUCAAAUUUUUGUUGACUGAUUUUAUUUAACCCAAGUAACUAAGUGAAUCUCCUCUUUGUAUUUUUCCAUUAUCAUCCUCAAUUUCUUGAUUUCUUUUUCUUUUUCUUUUUUUUUUUACAAUAAACGCAGAAAUUCCAGCUACUCUUGUAUCAGUUGUUGAAGGGCCUGCCAUUUUUCUUUUGUUAUGGACCCCUGCUCUUGCUAUUCAGGUCAGUUUGAUAACCAUUUUAAGGGCAAGGCUGUGGGUAUGUCAGCAGUCGCCCCUUUUAUAAAUGUGGAAAUUCAAUCCUUGUAUUAUCCUGGGUUUGGGUUACGAGAACAGCUUGUGGUUGUUCUUCAUCACCAGUAUCAAUAUCUUCCCCAGGAUCUACCAUAUUGCCCCUAAUUUCUUCACUUAAUAUCCCUGGAAUUGCAGGGAUAUUAACUUGAGUAUCCCAUUAUUGUAAAAGAUCUCUUCCCCAUAAGUUCAUGGGUAUUGCAGCCGCAUAAGAUCUCAACUUCCCUGUUUGCCCUUCUGGUCCCACACAGGUAUUCCAUUGGACACUUUGUCUUAUUCAUGAUAAUUUACCAAAUCCUCUAAAUGUGUUUAAACCUUCUGAAGUGGCCAAUCUGGAUUCCACGACUUUUGGGAAAGUGUACUAACAUCAGCUCCUGUAUCCACAAAUCCACGGAAGAAGUUCCUCUCAUGGUCAGGAUGCGUGUGACUGGUGGCAGAACACCUGGCGACACCCUCUGGGUGUCUGCGGGUGAGGCAGAGGUUCUUGCUUCUGUGUUCUGCUGCUAGGAACUUGCGAGACUCCUCCCCUCAACUCCGUAACCUGCAGUCUACCUCUCUUGACAAAGCGACACCGGAGUUUGCACAAAUCAUCUGCCUCGAAACUCCGUCAAAAGAUAUUCAGGGCUGGAGCGACAACCUGACUUAAGUUUCCAGAACCUUCAUUGGAGGGCUUGCAAAAGCCUCUAACUCCAAUUCCAGGGGAAUCCAAUGUUGUGUUCCGAACAUCGUGGGCAACUGCACUGAUGUCACAACUCCUCCGUGGUACAUACAUGCGUACGAAUAAUUAAAAAUAAAAAGGAAAAUCUUUAAAAGCAGAUAUUUAAGUGUAACUCUAGCAAGCUUGUUUUGCAGCCCAAGCUAGUCUUGAACUCCAGAUACUAUUCUGAGUUUAGCCUCAGGAAUUCAAAACCGUACCAGGCUUUGAUUUCACUGCUUUAUGCUGUUCCGUUGGCGUGGAGGUCUUAAAUCUUGAGUGUGUGUGUGUGUGUGUGAGUGUGUGUGUGUGUGUGUGUGUGUGUGUGUGUGUUGGAGUGAAGGAGGGGUGUGUUUUUAUAAUCAAAUCAUCUUUUACCCUAAAAUAAUUGUAUGACUCUGACCUUGUAGUUUAGACAACAGUUGAAAAUGAUUUGUGCUCCUUCAUCUCUAUCAUGUAACAAUAAAAGUGUCUGAAGUUUUGUGUUUGUGGCCAGGUAAUUAAAGUGAUGGACUCUGGGUUAUUGGGCUUUUUCAGCAGCAGAUUCGAUUCCUACACAUUGAAGUUACAUUUUUACUGAUUCAGGCUGGUUAUGAUAUCUGAAUUACAGUAGGACAAAAAACAAGUAAAUAAUUCGUGUGGAAUUCUUGACUAAACCUAGCCUUUUGCCCAGGCUAGAAUUUUACAUCAUAGGGAUAUUUAGAAAUAUAUUUUCAACUUUGAUUUAUUCUUUCCAAUAACAUAGAAUACUGGUAGAAUAGCCAUAUUUAACUUCAUUAGGCAUAAACAAGUAGCAAUAUCUGUUGCUCUCCUCGUUAGUAUAGUGAUGAGUAUUCCCCGCCUGCCACGCGGGAGGCUGGGGCUCGAUUCCCCUAUGGGGAGUAUUUGGCCAAACUUUUAACCGUGAAUCUUUGUACAACUACAGCUUUCCUGAGCACAAGAGGAAUCUAGGUUCAAAUGGAAAACACCUUGGAAGUUAAGAACCAGGUGUCUGAUACUUGCCUCGUGUUUACAGUGAGAACCGACAAUGUAAAGCUGUGCGUUUUAGGCCCCAAACCUGAAGUUAAGACAACCGUGUGACCCAAGUGUGAUUUAUGCAGCGGCCUUGGUGACCUGAUCAAGUUCUCUAAUACCCGAAGUCUCCAGCAAAGCACUUGUAAAUGUACAUUUAAAAAAAAUGAAAAAAAGCUUUCGGAAUGGAAAACAACUACCAUAAAGCCGUAGGGAUCAAUACUGUGUGGUUUCUACUCAGGAAAAUCCACAGCUUGCCAAGAGGUGGAACCUUCCAAGGACAUCUCCGUACCCUAAGAAGUCGUGCACAGAUCGUACUUAAUGAAAGUACACUCCCACAAUUGUCCCUUCAAUUGGGGACUAGACAAAGAUUCCGGAACCCUCAAAGACCACCACGCAGUCUCAGACAUUGAGAUGAAGCCGUCUAUGUCCUGCUGGGUCCGCAGAGCAGUGGAGGAAGACCGGAGGCGGUGGAGACUAGGGACGCAGGUCCUGAGUUCAACUCCCAGCAACCACAUGGUGGCUCAUGACCAUCUGUAAUGGAAUCCGAUUCCCUCUUCUCGUGUAUGUGAAGACAGCUACAGUGUAACUCAUACAUAGAAUAAAAUAAAUUAAAAAAAUCUAUUGGUAAAGGGAUUUUUCUUUUUGUUUCACUUGUUGGUUGGUUUCAUUUAGGAACUCCUACUUUCCUUUCUCUUGCCAAUAUACCUGCUUCCAUCUCUCAAGAACUGGGAUGGCCAGCUUGGGCUACCACACUUGUCUAGCUGGCUUCAUUUUAGUAGCUCCACAAGGUAAAGAGUGUGGUCCUGAGCAUACAAUGUGGCUGCUGGAGUCUGGUCCUGAGGAUACAAUGUAGCUGCUGGUUUAGAGCAUCUUAAGAACAAGAAGUAGAGAAUGCUGUCUGUAAACAUUCUAGUUCUUGAUUAAACCUUGAAAGGGAAUCUACAUUUAACGACAGCUACUUUAUUUAAUUUGUGUAGUUGUGAUUGAGCAGUUAAGGUGAUAGACUAGUAAUCCAUUUAGGAUUCAGAAUUUACAAAAUCUUAACUAGAUUCAAAAUGUUCUGAAGUUUGGAAAACUUCUGGGAUGGGGGGGGGGAGGAGAAACGAAAGGAAGAAAAAAAAAGAAAGGUGACCAAUUAUAAACAAAAACCUCAUGCUAAGGUCCACCCUUCUUUACCCAGUGUGGUGCUGGGAUUGUGUCUCUCCCAGGAAGAAGCUCAGGGAAUCACCCUCUUACAGAGGAGAUCUAGAAUCUUACUUAACCUGUUUGUAAUACAAGUAAGGAGUGUCAGAUGUAAAUUCUACAAGGUAAAUACUUUUUGCUACCAGGUGACUGAAAAACUAAAAGAUCCAAAUCCCCAGAAUGGUAAUAAAUAAUUAAAUCAUUAGUGUAGAGUUUAUUUUCUCUUGCAUAUUAGGGAUUCUUUAAAUGGUGACAUGGAUCCCAUUUGUUGGUUACGUAUUUAUUUAAACAUUUGUUUCUCUCUUGCAUAAGGGUCUUACUCUGUACACUACCCUGGCUUGAGACUCAAGGCAAUCCUACCUCAGCCUCUGAGUACAUAGAUUACUUGCCGGAACCAACCGACUCAGCUGAAGCGCUUGUAUGUACAUGUAGUAAAUGUGUCCAAUUGAUGGGAAUAGGCCACCGGAGGACAGAGGGGAAUGGUGUCUGCAGAAGGAGGAGGCGGCAGUCCAGAGGAGGUGGCUUUGGUGGAAAGGACGCGACUGUUUAAAAUUUGAAAGACUUUGCAGGACUCUUUCCCUGGAGAGCCAACAUUCCUGAGCAAAAAGAGGAGUGCUGAUAACCACUUUAGAAAACCUAAAUCCAAAAUCCAGGGAAGUAAUUCUUGAUCUAGCCUUCGCGCUCUUGAUUUCCAACCAGGAAGAGCCCAUUGGCAAUCUCGGGCAGGCGUGAAUCACAAAACCUAAAUUUAAAAAGUAUGAAGACGGUGAAAAAAUGAUUUACUAAAGACAAACUAAAUUACUGAAUUAAAGCAAAACAGAAUCGACUGUUGAAGAAACUAUACAUAAACUUCAGAAAACCCUUGCACAAUAGCAGAGUGGCGCAGCGGAAGCGUGCUGGGCCCAUAACCCAGAGGUCGAUGGAUCGAAACCAUCCUCUGCUAUGAAAUUAUUUCUCUUUUCUUACAACAGUGUUCGCUCUCAGAGUUUCCAUGACUUUAUCGCAGUAAAAAUUCUGAGAUCACAGUAUAAGUUCCGAGGUCUUUGCUCCAUAGAAAUGCUGAUGUUUGUUACAUCUUUUUUAAGAUUCUUUUUUUUUUCUUCUUCUUUUUUCUUUUUUUCGGAGCUGGGGACCGAACCCAGGGCCUUGCGCUUGCUAGGCAAGCGCAAGCACUCUACCACUGAGCUAAAUCCCCAACCCCUUGUUACAUCUUUGAUUGAUGGAACCCCUUAUUACAUCAACCACCAAGUUGUGUUUGCCUUUCAGUGGUGAUGUUUGUUAUCAAGCAUUUCAGUCCAGGAUAGCCUUGAACUCAAGACAAUCCUGCGUCAGUGUCCUAGUUUUAGUGUUUUUAUGGAAUGAGUUCAAGACAACAAGGAGGGAAAGCACUUCUAUCUAGAUAGGUGCUCCGUGUCUCUAGGUGUGGACUGGGCAGAGAUCUGGUAGUGAGAGUCUGCUUGGCCUUAGAGGAAAGAAAGAUGAGGAGAAGGGGGCUUGAAUGAGAGAUUAUAAGGGGAGAAAAGGACAAGACAAAAAUCAAAGAAGGGGAAAGAAUGCAAAGCCCUGUGAGCAGGUGCACAGAAGGGAGAAAAUGAAGGGAAUGUGCAGAAGAAAGAAGUGAGAUUCGGGAGCAACUGAAUGCAGAAGAGAGGUGGAGGGGAUUUCAUGGCCCUUGUGCAGCUGAAGAAGACGAUAGUGCAGUUCAUUGUAUCUCAGAUAUACAUUAGAAUGAAAUAGUUGCUUUUCACUGUAUCUGAGGUAAACAUCCAAAUGAAUAGCUGUUUUCUUUAAGUACCUUGUAGAAAUCAUUGUAGAAAACAGUGAUUGUAAUCUGUUCUCUAUACAGUUGUUUUUCUGAAGGAGCUUCACAGCCUUGGCAUGACUGUGGCCACAAGAUGGUCGUGGAACACUUAGAAUCUCCUGCAUUAUUGAGUACUGGGAACAGUGUACAUUAAGGACUAAAGUUGCAGAGGUGUGACAGUUUCCUUCAUGAAACAUAUAGAUUAGAUUGGGAGCUUUGGUAUGAGGAACUUGUACCUAAAAAACAACUUUUGUGUAAUAAUCAAUAAAUAUACUGUUGAGUGGCAGCCGAAGUUCAGUUCAGAUUAAGGCUGGAUCUCUCUGCUGCCCCAGAACCUGAUUACAUUCUAGAGCGAUCGACCUGCACAACUCAGAACACAACAGAAGACUGAUUUUCCUGCACAGAAACAGUCUGUGAAAUUAACUUUAUCCAGUUCAGAGGAAACUCAGGACUAAAGGAAGACUUCCCCAUUUGAAACCGCACCAUGAAAAGGUCCUCUAACAACUUUCAGUCUUUAUUAACAGCUCUUCUUAUACAAGUGACCAUUAUAUUUUGUGGUCUUGGAGAUGGAGCCUCAAACCUGGUGCUUGCUGAGUGAAUGCUCUGCCCACUGAACUAUUUUCCAGCCCAGGUUUUACUUUUAUCUUGAGCAAAAGUUUUACAAAGUUGCCUAUGGUGUACUCUGGAGUUCAGACAGCCUUAAAUUUGAAACCUUCUCAGUCAGGCUCCCAAGUAGAAUAAUAAGCCUGUAGCACCAGGCCUGACUCCAUUAUAGUAGCCCAGGCUAGCCUUCAGCUAAUUCUGUAAUGGGGUAUGAUGAUCUUGAACCUCUGGACCCUUUUCCUGCUACUCAGCAAUACUCCUCCCACUCCCAGGUCAUUAAUUUUGGAAACUCUGGUGUGACUAUCACUUUAUGACUCCCUGAACUACUGGCACCCUGUCUGGCUGUUUCUAGCCAGACAGAAAGAAAACAAAUACUCAACAUGUUUUUCCAACAAAGAGCUCUACAGUAUACCACCGAGAUAUGAAAUUUUGCAUGUACUGCAUGUCUGUAAUCCCAGAACUUGGGAGGCAGAGGCAGGAGGACUACAGAAAUUCAGUGCAGGGCAACCAGGAGUUCAAGGUCAUCAUCAGCUAAUUAUCGAGUUUGAAGGCUACAAAAGAUCCUAUCUCACAAAACAAAUAAACAAACAAAAAAGUUGAGAAAAAAAAACAAAUACCAAGACAUGGAAGAUAAUGGAUGAACACGUUUCAAUUUUCCUUUCAUAUCGUACACCAUCACCAUUUUUCUGGAAAUUCAAAUUUUACUGUAAACGAAUGGUAUUGGGACUGGAAAGAUUACAUUUGACUGUAAGUCCUGACCCAGGGGAUCAGUUGCCAUCUUGUAGCCUCUGUGGGGACUAAAAGCAGGUGGUGCAUAUACAUACAUGUAGCAAAACACCCAUAUACCCGAAGAAUAACAAUAAGUCUUUUAAAAAAUGACAUUGCGGCUAAUGCUUCCGGAACUUUUUGUUCAACUUUGCUCAGCUGUAUUGAAAUGGAUGUGUUAAUUUAAAUAUAUAAAUAAGAGGAAAAGCUAAGCACAGAUGACCUAUGAUCCCAAUAGAAGAAAUUAGAAAACAAAUAGCCAAAGAUAAAACAGUAAACAAAGCAAAACAAAAAAUACCACCAGUAGUUAAGGCUGAUAAUUAAGGCAGCAUUAGGGAAACAGAGGUGGGAGGAUCAGACAUCCAAGGCCACAGAGUGAAUUGAAGUCAGUCUAAGAGUGUGAGAACCUGUCUCGAACCAAAAUAAUAAAACCUUUAGACAUUACUAUCAUCAUCGACAGGAAAAUGAAACCUCCCAGCCUAUGAACUAUUGUUUUUAACAGUCUUAUAUUUCUUUCAGGUAGUAAUGAGUUGUUUGGUGUUGUGAAAGCAAGCCCCAUAAAGAAUAUGUUAAUCAUGGUUAUUACAGUCCUUUAAUAAGAUUGUCGUAGUCAGCAGGAUUCGAACCUGCGCGGGAGACCCCAAUGGAUUUCUAAUCCAUCGCCUUAACCACUCGGCCAUGACUACAUGGAAGUAACCUAUGUAUUUAGGAUAAGUAACCUGGCUUAGAUUUGGUUUUUCUAAAGGUGAACUUUUCUACUAGAGAUGCAUUUGUUAUCUCCCACACCACUCCUUCAACUACUUGAGAUCUCCUAAAUAGAAAUAAUUAUUUAGUGGCAGACUGAUAUGCAGCAGCCCUUCAUCCUCAAAGCAGGGAAGACCCUUGGUGUUCUGGUAAAAAGAGAUAUUUUCAGAGACUAGCUUUUCUAUUUUGUCAGAUUCUAUACUGGGAAUCCUUGUGGUACAUCCAACCACUGGGGUAUAAUCUAAAGAAUUGUGAAUUAUGGAAACAAUUCAGAAAACCUGAAUGGCUAUCCUUUGGGAGUGCGGAACAUUAUAUCUAAGUUUUGGAAACCCAACUUACAAAAGUUCUGAAACUAAAUACAUACAUACAUACAUACAUACAUACAUACAUACAUACAUACAUAAAUAAAUAAAUGAAAUAUAAGUCUACAUUGCUGAGAUGAGGUGAACAGCUGGAUGCAGUUUAACCAAAUAAUUCUGGCUACUAAAAUGUACUUUGAAUUUUGCAAAAUAACUCCUUUUAAAUCUUUGACGUCACUUAAUCUUAUGUCUUAAUCAAGGGGGCAGGGGCAGGGAGAAGAGCCCAUGUUCACAUGGCACUGGGGAAUUAGCUUUCUGCAGUAUCUACUGCUUAUGCUCCUGGAUACUGUCUGUGCCUUCAGCAACAUUUCUGGUUGGUUAAACACGGAGAGUUACACAUUUUCCUCAGAUACUUACGGAACUAAACUGGUAAUCAAAUCUUUAAAGGGGACACCUGUGUCAUAUGUUGUGCAUCACAAGCUGGACCUCCAUUCCCCUCUGUUGCUUUUUAUAAUUUGAGUAAUUGCAAAUAUGGAAUAUGCUUCAGGGAAAUAUCAAAUAACAGGCCAAGACUAUUAACUGUUUAUGUCCCCUACCCACUUGCAAAAGAUACAGUUUGCAGUCUAUGGGCAACAAAUGCUUGUUAAGUUACAGACAGUUGAGAAAACAGAAAGAGUUAACCAGAGUUUGUUCUGUAAAUUUUAAUUGAAACUACUAAAAGUGCUUUUAAAAAUAAUGUUCGUUUUUGAUUGGAUUUCUGUAAAAAGAUUCCUAUAUUUAUUCUGGAAAUUGGGUGUGAUUCAAGGUAAAAUAAUUUUCGUUUCUAUAUGCAUAGCUAAUUCAACUGUGCAACACACUAUUGGCUGGGAAUAUCACACCAUGAAUAGAAAUAAUGUAUCAUUUGAUGUCUGAAUGAAUACAUGCAAAAUAUGCCAGUGUCAUACAUACAUGGAUCUCACUCAGGGCUUCACAUAUGUUAGGUGUGCUCUGCCAACGAACUACACUCCCAGCACAUAGAAUCAUAACAUUUCCUGGGCAUGUUUUAUUAUUGUAUAAUUAAAGGGCUGACAACAAUUUGAUUUAAGGAUACCCCAUAUAUUUUUGAACUUUCUUUUUCUGCAUAUAUAUGCAAGACUAAUUAUCAAGUAGAAUUCAAGUAAUGUAACUCUCCAAAACUUAACUAGUGACCAAUUCGCCUCCUUUGGCUCUAGGUUCAACGCCUACAAACACACACACACACACACACACACACACACACACACACACACACACACACACACAGAGAGAGAGAGAGAGAGAGAGAGAGAGAGAGAGAGAGAGAGAAUUCAUAGAACUGUCUUCUAUCUCCAUCCUCCUAACCCCCGUCUCCCCAUAAAAGUCCAACAAUCCGGAGUCUUCAAAAAUAAGCCAGAUUAAGGAGGUUGGAGAGAUAGAUGGUUUAGCUCUUCCAGAGGAUCUGAGAUUGGUUUCCAGCAUCCAAGCCAGUGGCUCUUACCGACCUAUAACCUCAGCCGCAGCAACGAAAUCCAACAACCUUUUCUGGCUUCUGAAGACCCUGACAUACAGUUGAAGAACAGACGAACUCAUAACAAAGUCAAGGCCAGACUGCUAUAGUCAAACCUAUCCUGAAACCUGAACAAUAAAGGAACAAAAACAAAAACAAAAACAAAAAAAGUGGGGGGCCGUCACGGGGUGGGGAGCAAGAGGUGAGGAAAGCUUCCCUGUGCUGUGUGUCACGGAGGUUACUUCUCUUAGUUUACUGUUUAAACAUAUAUUCUAGAGAACCACCUUCAUUUCGCGAAAUUACGAGAUGAAGCACAGGAUACAAAUUUCUAACUUGUCGGUGAAGAGAGGUAAAAUAAAUUAUACCAGUUUUUCAUAUGAUCAUUCUAACCACCGCCCAAGUCUCCGACAUAUAAGAAGUCAGCCCUAUUCAUUUCACUUGACUUGUUGAAGUUUUCAUGUCUUUCUUUAAUCAUUUGUCCUUAGGUAAGACAGAGAAGUGAGCUCACAGUCAAAAUCCUCGGAAAUUCUACACGAAGUUCCUUCCUCCAUCGGAAUCCAGGCUCUGAGGACGUAGUCUUAGCUACAGUUGUGAUACCCCUAACUUUAUUUGAUGAUCUAGAAAAGGGGAUGUGAACUGAAGGCCUGUGAUAUCUGACAUGAAUGAACGAACGGAGUGAACCGAGUAAGGCGUGGUCAUUCCUGGUAACAGCGUCUGUUCCAGUCUCUCUUUUGUUGCGUCUUCUUCCUACCCUCACCCCAUUUGUCUCCUCUUCCCACUCCCUUUUCUCGCUGAGACCUAUGAUCCAGUGUCCAAGACUUUUCACAAUGGGGAGGGCUUCCAGCAUUGUAGAAACUAAUAGUACAUCAGUAACUGCGCUGCUUGCUACAAGCGUCUCUGUGGGUGGACAGAGGUCAAAGGACAGUCAGCUGCUGCCCUUUCCUUCUGUGUGGUUUCCUGACCUAACCCUAACUUAACUAUCAUUACAGCACAGUGCAGAUUAGUAGGAAGGAUGCAUUAAAGUCUGAGCAAGCAGGAUGUGAUUCAUACUCCGUCUGAGAGCAGUAACAAACAAAGCCCUGGUGUAAGCGACACCAGAAGGGAAAGAGGAGCCAUCAGCUUAAUCUGUAUUAUGAUUAUUAAUAAUGAGUAGCAAAUAGUACAAGCCACGUGCAGAUAUUUAGUAUCAUUAUUUACACACAACAAGCUUGGUUCUACUCCAGACAAGGGCCGUCCUAUGAUACUGGAUAACAACAGCACAAGACAAAUGUUUAGAAUAUGAAAUCUAAGUGGGAAUCCUCAUCAAUGAAACAAAUGUUUGAAAUAUGUUUUUAAGGUAGCAUUUCUUUCCCCAGCACAGGAGACAGGCUUUCUUAGAAGAUACUUCAAAAUUAAUUCAUUUUGUUUGCACACCCAUGGGGAUGCUGGAGGGCAACCACAGGAACUGGUUUUUCCCUUCCACCAUGUAGGUCCCAGAGAUGGGACUCAUGUUUCCAAGCUUGGUGGUAAGCACCUUUACCUACUAAGCCAUCUUGAAAGUCCUGAAAGAACCUUUGACAAGGCCUAACUACUGGAACAUAGAGAUGCUCAGAAUGGUUUGAGCAGAACUCUCAAACAGCAUGUUGCAGCUAAAGCUUUUAAAGCAGUGGUUCUCAACCUGUGGGUCUCAACAAGGUGUCAAAUAUCAAAUAUCCUGUAUGUCAGAUAGUUACAUUAUGAUUCCUAACUAAAGGAGCAAAAUUAUAAUGAUGAAGUGGCAGUAACUUUAUGGUUGAGGGUCACCACAUCGAGAACUGUAUUAUAAGGUGGUAGCAUUAGGAAGCUUGAGAAUCAGUGAUUUAAAGGCUACUGUUCUUUUAAAUAAGAAUAUCUAUAAUCUAUUAGAAGAUUUGUCAAUACCUAUGAUGACGUGUGUGUGUGUGUGUGUGUGUGUGUGUGUGAAUGGAUCAUAUUUCAAAACCAGCUGAUCAAAUAAACACCUGGAAAAUCCCA